rnacentral:rRNA from 1 species
AUUGAACGCUGGCGGCAUGCCAUACGCAUGCAAGUCGAACGGUAACAGGUCUUCGGAUGCUGACGAGUGGCGAACGGGUGAGUAAUACAUCGGAACGUGCCUAGUAGUGGGGGAUAACUACUCGAAAGAGUGGCUAAUACCGCAUGAGAUCUACGGAUGAAAGCAGGGGAUCGCAAGACCUUGUGCUACUAGAGCGGCCGAUGGCAGAUUAGGUAGUUGGUGGGGUAAAAGCUUACCAAGCCGACGAUCUGUAGCUGGUCUGAGAGGACGAUCAGCCACAUGGGGACGGAGAACCGGCCCGGACUCCUGCGUGAGGCAGCAGUAGGGAAUUUUGGACAAUGGGGGAAAGCAUGAUCCAGAAAUGCCGCGUGAAGGAUGAAGGCCUUCGGGUUGUAAACUGCUUUUGUACGGAACGAAAAGCCCCGGGUUAAUACCCUGGGGUCAUGACGGUACCGUAAGAAUAAGCACCGGCUAACUACGUGCCAGCCGCCGCAGUAA